GACAUCCAAGUUCCAUUUUUGUUUUCUUUUUCCUUCUUCAAUUUGCAGAGAACUUCUAAGAGAGAGUUUGGAAGAAGAAGAGAAAUUUUACUAGAAUUUUUAGGUUGAAGAAGAGGAGGAGAACUCAAGCAAAGUGUAUCAAUGGCUGAAUUUUAGUUCAUUCUGCACAUCACUGGUUUUUAAUUCGGUUUGAACUCUUCAAAAGGAAUUAAGAGGGCAGUUGGUUUUCACUCGAAAUCAGGAGGUCUCUGGUUUUUCUUGUAUUUCAGAGUGUAUCGGUGGAGUUAGAAUCUCUAUUUGGGACAAGUUAAAGAGAUCGUGUGCGCGCGAUUCUGGAAGUGGUUCUGUUUUGAGGGUUAUAUGUCUUUAUGCACGGGAAAUCAG